GACGAACGCUGGCGGCGUGCUUAACACAUGCAAGUCGAACGGUAAGGCCCUUCGGGGUACACGAGUGGCGAACGGGUGAGUAACACGUGGGUGAUCUGCCCUGCACUUCGGGAUAAGCCUGGGAAACUGGGUCUAAUACCGGAUAGGACUCCGGACUGCAUGGUCUGGGGUGGAAAGCUUUUGCGGUGUGGGAUGGGCCCGCGGCCUAUCAGCUUGUUGGUGGGGUGAUGGCCUACCAAGGCGACGACGGGUAGCCGGCCUGAGAGGGUGACCGGCCACACUGGGACUGAGAUACGGCCCAGACUCCUACGGGAGGCAGCAGUGGGGAAUAUUGCACAAUGGGCGCAAGCCUGAUGCAGCGACGCCGCGUGAGGGAUGACGGCCUUCGGGUUGUAAACCUCUUUCAGCAUCGACGAAGCGAAAGUGACGGUAGGUGCAGAAGAAGGACCGGCCAACUACGUGCCAGCCGCCGCCGUAA
rnacentral:rRNA from 1 species